CCACCCAUCCCCUGACACCCACAGGAACCCCCCAGCCUGAGCUAGAGUGGGCCACACCACAUCCUGUAGGCCCCAAACAGUGCUGAGUCUGGGAGCACCUCAGCUCCGAGGGCUCCUUCCUGGUCAGAGGGCAAGGACCUUUCCCAGCCAAGACCACUGCACUGAGUCCUGUGUGUGCGUGUGUGUGUGCACGUGUGUGUG
rnacentral:lncRNA from 10 species